rnacentral:sRNA from 1 species
CCCUAGCCCCGAUAACAGCGGAAAUCCUUUUUAUUUUAAGUGAGGAACGAACAAAAUAAAAAGAUUGCAGCGGAUAGCGGGAACAGCU